rnacentral:rRNA from 1 species
GACGAACGCUGGCGGCGUGCUUAACACAUGCAAGUCGAACGGAAAGGCCCUGCUUUUGUGGGGUUCUCGAGUGGCGAACGGGUGAGUAACACGUGAGUAACCUGCCCUUGACUUUGGGAUAACUUCAGGAAACUGGGGCUAAUACCGGAUAGGAGCUCCUGCUGCAUGGUGGGGGUUGGUAAGUUUCGGCGGUUGGGGAUGGACUCGCGGCUUAUCAGCUUGUUGUUGUGGUAGUGGCUUACCAAGGCUUUGACGGGUAGGCGGCCUGAGAGGGUGACCGGACAAAAUGGGACUGAGAUAAGGACCAGAAUCCAACGGGAGGCAGGAGUGGGGAAUAUUGCAAAAUGGGAGGAAGCCUGAUGCAGCAACGCCGGGUGCGGGAUGAAGGCCUUCGGGGUGUAAAACGAUUUCGCCUGUGAAGAAGAGUGAGUGAAGGUAAUGGGUAAAGAAGCAACGGCUAACUACGUG